rnacentral:rRNA from 1 species
GCCAUGUGAACCUCCUUCGACGAGUCGAGUUGUUUGGGAAUGCAGCUCUAAAUGGGAGGUAAAUUUCUCUAAGCUAAAUACCGGCCAGAGACCGAUAGCGCACAAGUAGAGUGAUCGAAAGAUGAAAAGCACUUUGGAAAGAGAGUUAAAAAGUACGUGAAAUUGUUGAAAGGGAAGCGCUUGCAACCAGACUUGUCCGCAGUUGCUCAGCCGGUCUCCUGACCCGGCGUACUCUUCUGCGGCCAGGCCAGCAUCAGUUCGGGCGGUCGGAUAAAGGCCUCGGGAAUGUGGCUCCUCUCGGGGAGUGUUAUAGCCCGGGGCGGAAUGCGGCCAGCCUGGACUGAGGAUCUCGCUUCGGCAAGGAUGCUGGCGUAAUGGUUGUAAGCGGCCCGUCUUGAAACACGGACCAAGGAGUCUAACAUCUAUGCGAGUGUUUGGGUGUCAAACCCAUACGCGUAAUGAAAGUGAACGGAGGUGGGAACCCGCAAGGGCGCACCAUCGGCCGAUCCUGAUGUCUUCGGAUGGAUUUGAGCAAGAGCAUAGCUGUUGGGACCCGAAAGAUGGUGAACUAUGCCUGAAUAGGGUGAAGCCAGAGGAAACUCUGGUGGAGGCUCGCAGCGGUUCUGACGUGCAAAUCGAUCGUCAAAUUUGGGUAUAGGGGCGAAAGACUAAUCGAACC